CUCUACCUGCUGUUUACCCGAUGAACGGCUGCGUAAAAUGUCCUUUCUGCCAUCACUGAGUCAACGGGGUGUGAAUGUGUCUUAUCUCUAUAGGUUAGAGAGCAGACGGAAGAAAAGAAACCAGGACAAUCUACCAGUUUCAGAGUGGAAAAACUCGGUGUGAAGCGCAUCAGAGAGGCAAAUGUUUAAUUUUAAACCUCACUGAGGCAAUCCGGGGAACUUUAUCUCACCUUAAGCCGCUGCAAGUACCGACACACCUGGGCGGCUGCCUCAGGAAUGUGAACCGGGUAGAGCUGGGCUAUUAGUUCGCCUUUUUUUUUUUUUUUAUUAUCACAGCGACUGACAACAAAUACAGGAAGUAAAGGAAAACUCAAGGGAGGGAAAAAAGUGUGACAAGUGGACGUGGAGAGAAAAGUCUAGCCAAGAGGGCGUGGAGGUUUAACACAGUUUCAGUCCCGGUUCCGGUCAUACCGUCAGAGGAGUCGAUUGGUUUCACAGGUGGAGAUUUUUACCCAUUAGAAGACGGACAUCGGUUUUCACCGGCAGAAGGAAUCGCUCAAUCACCGAUCCUGCUUUAUUGAACUGAUUAUUGGACUUUAGAAGUGGAUCAAAACUCACCAGCAGAGAGAAUCGCCGAUCCUGCUUUAUCGAUCUGUUGAUUGAACUUCAGAAGGAGAUUCCUGUCAAAAAUCACCAGGCAUGUCGCAGGACGAUAUAGAAAAAGCAAUGCCACUGACUUCCGUACCUGGCUCAGCUGAAGAGCAGAAGGAGGAUGAACAUAAUACAAAGCACCACAGGAAACAAAGGAAGGACAAGGAAAAAAUAAAAAACCACAGGAAACUGGCCAUUUGCAGCAUUAUCUGCGGUUGCUCCUGCGUGGGAUACAAAGCACUGGAAAAUUCAUUCCAGGUUGACCAAGAGGAGAACAAAACACAAAAGCUAAAGUAUUCAAAAGAGGCGAAAAAGUACAGCAUAAUCUCCAUUGUCACGUUUUACGGGAUCCUUCUCCUCAUUCCUGUGGUGAUAGUUUUCGUCUCAUAUCUUCUGACAUUGAAAGACUAAACGACUUCGGCAGAAAAACAAAACGAUUCUGUGAACAACUUUGUAUUUUAUGGAGCAAAGUAACAAAAACAAAGCUGUGAUGAUUUAUUAUCAUUAGAAGUUACAACCUCUACUUUUAUCUCUCCAGUAUUUAACGGAAACAAAACAGACGGCUUUCAUGUUUUUAUAUCCUGUGAUAUUUAUUCAACAUACGGACGAAUUCAUUUAAAAAAAAUGAAACUAUAAAAUCCAGCAUUGCCUUUAAAUUUGACAAUUUGAAAAGUUUAACCUCUCUUCAAGAUUUCCACACAUUCAGAAAAACUGAAUACUUGGAUGUAUAUUAGUGGAAAUCCUAAAGAGACAAGAUAAACUUUCAAAAGCACCUUUAUAUUCAGCUCUGCAACAACUCAUUCCUGAAUAUAGUUUAUUAUUAAAAGAAAUGUGUGAAUUCUUACUGUAUAUACUAAAAUCACAAAUACAAGAGUAGAUAAAACAUUUUGUUUGGGCUUUGAGAAAUAAAAACAAAUGGCAUAGUGGUGAUUAUGGCAGUGCUUCAAAAUGACAUUAUCUUGGCAUUAUUGCAUUGUUACUUCACCUGUAUUUUUUUAUUAAAUGUAUACAUGUACUGCACUUUUAUACAAACGAUGUAUUUUAUAAUAAAACAUAUUUUUAAGCAUCAAGUUGGCUGAUUCAUUCUCACAAAGGUUUUACAGUUAAGGCAACCUCAUUUACAGCAACAAACGGCUACAGUUUAAUGUACUUAUGUACAAAAAAAAGGAUAAACUUGGUCGUUGACACGCCCACUUUUCCAUGCACUUCAGUGGGAAAAACAAGAAAAGGCCACAGGUGGGAAAGUUCAAACCCAAAUAAUUAAUCGGUUUCCGCCCUGAGCUGAGUAAAGCGAAGUCCAAGCUGCUGGAAACUGAUUUGAUUGUACAUUAAAAAUAAAAAAAAACAUAUUUACAAACACAGUUUAUUGUAAAUACAAAUCUCUCGCUAGCAUCUUUAAAAGUUAUAGAUAUAUAGCCUUUAAUAGAGAAACAAAUAGCUGCCAUUAUAACUCAAAGAUGCUGCAAGGGGAUGAAUACUUCAGUUCAGAACAAUAAUACAAGCCAGAGAACAGAACCAUCAAGACGAGUGAUAAUACUGUACAGAAUAUCAAGGAGAAUUUGUUUUAUUUACUUUAAGACCAAUACGAGCAGUCUGACUGUAGAAUAAAUAAAACAAUCUGUACAAAUGUGUAUAAAUAAC